AUCAUGAUCCAUCACUACUGAUAACAGGCCCCAUCAUGAUCCAUCACUACUGAUAACAAGCCCCAUCAUGAUCCAUCACUACUGAUAACAGGCCCCAUCAUGAUCCAUCACUACUGAUAACAAGCCCCAUCAUGAUCCAUCACUACUGAUAACAGGCCCCAUCAUGAACCAUCACUACUGAUAACAGGCCCCAUCAUGAUCCAUCACUACUGAUAACAAGCCCCAUCAUGAUCCAUCACUACUGAUAACAGGCCCCAUCAUGAUCCAUCACUACUGAUAACAAGCCCCAUCAUGAUCCAUCACUACUGAUAACAGGCCCAUCAUGAUCCAUCACUACUAAUAACAGGCCCCAUCACUACUGAUAACAGGCCCCAUCAUGAUCCAUCACUACUGAUAACAGGCCCCAUCAUGAUCCAUCACUACUCAUAACAAGCCCCAUCAUGAUCCAUCACUACUGAUAACAGGCCCAUCAUGAUCCAUCACUACUGAUAACAGGCCCCAUCAUGAACCAUCACUACUGAUAACAGGCCCCAUCACUACUGAUAACAGGCCCCAUCAUGAUCCAUCACUACUGAUAACAGGCCCAAUCAUGAUCCAUCACUACUGAUAACAGACCCCAUCAUGAACCAUCACUACUGAUAACAGGCCCCAUCAUGAUCCAUCACUACUGAUAACAAGCACCAUCAUGAUCCAUCACUACUGAUAACAGGCCCAAUCAUGAUCCAUCGCUACUGAUAACAGACCCCAUCAUGAUCCAUCACUACUAAUAGCAGGCCACAUCGUGAUCCAUCACUACUGAUAACAAACCCCAUCACUACUGAUAACAGGUCAGUGGAUAACAGGCCUAAUCACUACUGAUAACAGGCCCAUCAUGAUCCAUCACUACUGAUAACAGGCCCCAUCAUGAUCCAUCACUACUAAUAACAGGCCCCAUCAUGAUCCAUCACUACUGAUAGCAGGCCAGUGGAUAUCCAAAGGAACGUUAUAUGGCAUACAUCAUGAUCCUUCACUUUCAACAACAAAACCAUUGGGGGCACCUGGCAGUUAUUUUCUUGCUGAAUGAGUAAAAAAAAAAAAAAAAAAGGUUAUAGUUGUCAUAGGGACAACACCAAUACUCAGUUAUGUUAGGAUAUGUGUUAAGUUAGUAGUUGUCAUAGGGACAACACCAGGACUCCAGUGGGUUAACUGACUUCCCUGAGGAAGAUGCCAUACUUGUUUUGUGUCAGGUUUCCCCUGCAAGUACUAUUACAUUGAAUAUGGACUCAAAAUCAGUUAAACAAUCAUAUUGAAAUGUUAAAAGAUUGCCCACCCACCUGUGUCAGGUGAUCUGAUAAGUAACUUCCAAGAAGCAGUCAAAGGUUGUCUCAGAACAUGUUAGGGUAUCAAUGAAAUGCAGGUUGACAUUUAUUUUCAUUCAUCUUGACCUGGAGGCAGAACUGAGAGAUUUCCGCUAGAUGGGUCAGCUGCAAAGUCUAAAUUGGCUCUAUCGUAAAAAAUUAGGAAAUAAAAAAUUUGCUUUUUGGUCUUAAUUUAAGGGUUAGGCAUUACGGUUAGCAAUGUGUUUAGGGUUAUGGUUUGGUUUAAAAUCUGAUGUUUUGACUUUAGUGUUAAACUGGGGUUAAAGGGGCAUUCUGGGGUUGGUACAUCUAUUUUAUUGUAUCUGUGAUACAGCCAUUCGUUAUUGAGGAUUCAAACUCAUAAAUGCAUCAUGAGGCCGAUUCAGACUUUUUUACGCGUUUUGAUUAAGCACUUCUCAGUAUUUGGUAUUCAGACUAAUCUAUUGCAGGUGCAUAACAAGGUUUGCAGGUGUGGCUCCCAUGCGCACACUAAAUACAUUUAAUGCAUUCCCAGAAAACACACCCAUUGGAUGGCCUACCAACUUGAUUAGGGAAUUUGUCUUCAAUUAAUUGUCCUGUUUAUUUAUCUAAAGCAAUCCCUUUAGAUACUGUACAUUUAAUUAGAAUUUGAUUGGCACAAAUAUUAGAAUGUAGCCAUCAAAUCAACACAAUAUUAGAAUGUAACCUUCAAAACAACACAAUAUUAGAGUGUAACCUUCAAAACAACACAAUAUUAGAAUGUAGCCAUCAAAAUAACACAAUAUUAGAAUGUAGCCUAUGGAGAAUGUGUUCAGAAUGGAAACUAAUGAAAGGUAGCCAUCAAAACAACACAAUAUUAUAAUGUAGUUAUCAAGGGGCGGCAGGUAGCCUAAAUACAUUUAUUUCAGCGUUGGACUUGUAACCGAAAGGUUGCAAGAUUGCAAGAUCGAAUCCCUGAGCUGACAAGGUACAAAUGUGUCGUUCUGCCCCUGAACAAGGCAGUUAACCCACUGUUCCUUGGCCGGCGUUGAAAAUAAGAAUUGUUCUUAACUGACUUGCCUAGUUAAAAAGAUCAAAAAUAUAUUAGAAUGUAGUCUAUGGAGAAUGUCUUCAGAAAGGAGACCAAUGAAAGAUAGCCAUCAAAACAAUACUAGAAGGUAGUCAUUAACACAAUAUUAGAAUGUAGCCUAUGGAGAAUGUCUUCAGAAAGGAGACCAAUGAAAUGUAGCCAUCAAAACAACUGACACACGUUCUUCAACCCGUUGGAAGAUUAGUGUAUGGUGGAAAUAGUAAGGUUAAAACAUUUUGUGAGUCAUCCCCCACUGGGCACAGUCGUACGACAGUUCAAUGUCUUGCUUUGAUUUACGUUUGAUCGAGUUGGCAACUAGCCGUGGAUUGGAAAUGAAAUCAAGAACAAAUGCCACCAUGUCAUUGGAUUUAAGUUAAAAGUUGGGUGAAAGAAAACAACAAAACGUUUUGCAAAUCCAAUCGGUUAUCCACGUUGAUUAAAUGUCAUCACGUUGAUUUGUUUGCUUGAAUUGACGUGGAAACAACGUUGAUUCAACCAGUGUGUCACGGUUUCUGUUUCAUUUUUGAGUGUGCUCCCUGAGCUUACCGCUGGAGGGCACCCUUACUUUGUUUCUAGUGUCCAGGUUACCCUGAUUGUUAUCAUUGGUUUCACCUGUGUGUUGAUUGCCCUCUCGGUUCACCUGUUGACUGGCUAUUUAGGUUCCUCUGUGGGCAGAUCUCUUUGCUUAGGUCUAAUGUUUUAAUUAGUGUGCUGGUAUGUUUUUGCUUUGUUUUUCUGUGAAGACCUUAGUAAAUGUUCUGGAUUUACCCUUACCUGCUGUGUUUCUCUGCGUCUGAGUUUAUACUAGCAUUAUUGUCACACAGUGGCCACAUGCUCCAGGCUGCAGUAGACUACCUAUUUAGCUUGCAUCUCCAAGUUUCAUCACUGCAAGCUAAAAGGCCAUACAGUUAAAAUGAUGCAUAAGGUCACAGCAUUCCAUAAGGUCACAGCAUUCCAUAAGGUCACAGCAAUCCAUAAGGUCACAGCAUUCCAUAAGGUCACAACAUCACAGCAUUCCAUAAGGUCAUAGCAUUCCAUAAGGUCACAACAUUCCAUAAGGUCACAGCAUUCCAUAAGGUCACAGCAUUCCAUAAGGUCACAGCAUUCCAUAAGGUCACAACAUUCCAUAAGGUCACAACAUUCCAUAAGGUCACAGCAUUCCAUAAGGUCACAGCAUUCUGUACUUUACUGUGCGAAAGGGGCACUUGUUGGGUUUUCAGUUUGCUUCCAUGACUGGUUUCACAUUUGUCUCCAGCAUGCCAAAGUAAAAAUCAUCUAAAACAAUCUGUUUGUAUUUACAAUCCCCUUCUCCAAACAGAUUAGAACCUACUCAUUUACCUAGUUUGAAUUUUGCAACUUAAAAAAAAAACUAUUAAACUUUAACCCCAGCCAUCUCUUUAAGGAUUCACAUGUGAGGCCAUGUACUAAACAACCAAAGAUUUCAAGACCAAAGGCUGGUUUAUACUACGGGUGUGUUCGUAAUUUUAUCUGGAGUGCCAGAGUGUUUUCUGGGCGUAAAGUCAGACCGUUGUCAGAUUGUCCCUUCGUAAAUUCAGAGUGUUACGCUCUCGGAGUGGUCAGAGCGCUCACUGGCCGAGGAGUAGGGAUGAUUUGAGCAUUCUGACCUAACAACAGCAGUCAAGCACCCAAGCUAACUGGCUAACGUUGGCUAUCUUGCUAGCUACCUCCAGACACAAAUGAAAGAACAGCUCACUCUGACAAUUUUACUCACCCUGGCAGAGCUGGUUAGGCUGUUUUCAUGUUAUCCAGAGCAUUGGUGACUGCAACUGUAUUGCUGGAAACAAUUUAAUGCUUUUUUUGCCAACGUUUACUGACACUGGCCAUAUUCAGUUGGUGUUGAGCGUUUGUAAAUUCGUCAGUUAUUCUGUAAGAACAGCAGAAGCCCAAUCAGGCUACAUAUUUUUGUUAAUUUGAGAGCAGGGUUUACUGAUUUCAUGACAGAUAUGAGAGCAGGGUUUACUGAUUCCAUGACAGAUUUAGACCAGGGUUUACUGAUUCCAUGACAGAUAAGAGAGCAGGGUUUACUGAUUCCAUGACAGAUAUGAGAGCAAGGUUUACUGAUUCCAUGACAGAUAAGAGAGCAGGGUUUACUGAUUCCAUGACAGAUUCAGAGCAGGGUUUACUGAUUCCAUGACAGAUAAGAGAGCAGGGUUUACUGAUUCCAUGACAGAUAAGAGAGCAGGGUUUACUGAUUCCAUGACAGAUAUGAGAGCAGCGUUUACUGAUUCCAUGACAGAUAUGAGAGCAGCGUUUACUGAUUCCAUGACAGAUAAGAGAGCAGGGUUUACUGAUUCCAUGACAGAUAAGAGAGCAGGGUUUAAUGAUUCCAUGACAGAUAAGAGAGCAGGGUUUACUGAUUCCAUGACAGAUUGAGCCGACAACAAUAACAACAUUGUUGAGAUUAGUAGUGACCAGGGCCCGUAGGAGUGCUGAUCUAGCACCAGUUUUUGACUUUUAGAUCAUAAUGAUUAUAUGGACAGAUCCUAGAUCAGUACUCCUACUCUGAGGUACUUUCUGGAUACGGGCUGAGAUCUUAGCCAAACUGUGUUGGGUUGACAGUCACUGGAUCGGGGUUCUAGUAAGAUCACUGCGUUUGUUUACGUAAACGAUGAUUUGAUAAUGUAUAUAUGGUGAUCUAGUCAUUAGUUCUUGUUGCUGAUAUUUUGAAGGAUUUUACAGGGUAGGAUGAAGGUCUUUCAUUGGCCUGGCCAUAACUACUGUCACACAAUAUCUGAAUACUUGGUCAGAUGAAAUCAGGGAAAGAUAUUUCUGGAUGAAUCUCUCUUUUAAUCCCUUCAUGACUAACAGGUUCAGACCCAUAUCAGGACUGUCUUAACAGAAGUAGGUUAGCACUGGUGAUGAAUAUGAGGGUUUUAUCUCUCUUUAAAAAUAAUCACUAUAUUCUCUGUUUCUUUUCUCUCUAUAUUGGGCUUUUAUUCACUUCCAAAUUAUUAAUAAUUAAAGUUUUAUAAUUGCAUCAAAGAAACAUCAUCCAUCACCAAAGCCCUUCCAUCUAUACACAUUAAAAUAGUUUUAUCCUCCAAAUGUCUUCAUAAAAGUAGAUCCAUAACCUACACAUGGUGCCUCCCAGUAAGUCAGGGGCUCCACCAGUUCCUGACCAGUCCUGUUGUAAACCAUAUCACCGCCCCUGUCAACCCUCCCAUGACAAUACCCCCAAAACCACCUGUCAGAACCCCCAUCAACAACCCCGUCACUAUGGCAACGAUGAGCUCCAAUCUGUCACUGACGAUUCUCUGCCUGUCCUCCUUCCUCCACUGGUAUCUGUAGCGCUCCCUCUCCUUUACCUCAUUGGACCGCACUGCCAAGAGAAAGACACACCCCUCUUUACUCACAGGGGAAACGGUCACCAACGUGGAAGAGAUCUAUGAUCUUUGAGGGAAGUUAAUGAAAAGAACCUCAUAAAUUCCUAAAUGUAUUGUACUGUACUGUAUUUUACUGUAUUAUAAGUAG
rnacentral:lncRNA from 1 species